AGCGGCGCCAGAGCCAUGUGAGAAAAUCCAAGCCGCCCACAGCUUUUGCCUCUCCGCAGUGGAUCCUCCAACAAGCAACAGCCCCAAAUUGAAAGCAUUCCAAAUGCGAGUACUCAUUACUUUGAUUCUCUUCAGCUUUCAUCUAGUUGCAGAUGUUGCAGAUAUUAACCAAAAACUACUUUGUGGUGAUUGUGUCAACAGACAGGCAGGCACUGGCAGGCACUACUGCAGUUGCCGUGUGAACUUUGGAGAGCAAAGUCAACUGACACGAAAUAAUACGCGUAAAGGCGAACAUUAAAGCCAACAUCGACUAUUGCCCAAUGCAAUUACGAAGCUUUUGUCGCCAGCAGGGGAGGAGGAAGGCUAACCCCACAGUACAGGUAUCUAUCAAUCGAUCUAUGCAUGUAUGUACAUAUAAAAGUAUACAUAGAAAAUCUAUAAAUGCAGAUUGUGUGCUGGAAACUGCUCUGAUGUGAAGGUCAACCACUACAGAGUCAAUUACAUGGAUUGGGGUGCGACCCAAACAACUAAUUAAACAGAUCCAUGAUUACAGAUUGUAAUUGAA
rnacentral:lncRNA from 1 species